CACGCCAUAAACGAUGAAUGCUAGGUAUUGGGGUUACUCAGUGCCGACGUAAACACAAUAAGCAUUCCGCCUGGGGAGUACGUGCGCAAGCAUGAAACUCAAAGGAAUUGACGGGGACCCGCACAAGCAGCGGAGCAUGUGGUUUAAUUCGAAGCAACGCGAAGAACCUUACCUAGACUUGACAUCUCCUGCAUUACUCUUAAUCGAGGAAGUCCCUUCGGGGACAGGAUGACAGGUGG
rnacentral:rRNA from 1 species